rnacentral:rRNA from 1 species
AGAGUUUGAUCCUGGCUCAGAAUGAACGUUGGCGGCGUGGAUUAGGCAUGCAAGUCGAGCGAGAAGCUUUCCUUCGGGAGAGUGGACAGCGGCGCAAGGGAGAGUAACGCGUGGAUACCUGCCCUAGGGUUCGGGAUAGCUGCGGGAAACUGCAGGUAAUACCGAAUAACAUCUCCGGAUCAAAGGUGUGAUUCCGCCCUAGGAUGGGUCCGCGUCCUAUUAGCUUGUUGGUGAGGUAAUGGCUCACCAAGGCCUCGAUAGGUACCGGGUGUGAGAGCAUGGCCCGGCUCACUGGGACUGAGACACUGUCCAGACACCUACGGGUGGCUGCAGUCGAGAAUCUUCGGCAAUGAGCGCAAGCUUGACCGAGCGACGCCGCGUGAGGGAUGAAGGCCUUCGGGUUGUAAACCACUGUCAGAGGGGAUGAAGUGCUGGUAGGCUAUCCUACCAGUUUGACAUAUCCUCAGAGGAA